AUGCCGGCCCCCGUCCCCUCCCCCUUCGAAGAAUUGGGGGGGGGGGAUCAACUCCCCCCACUCGUCACCCUUCCGGCCGGCCGCUCAGCCAAAGAUCUGAUUAGAUUUCUCAUCACAACCCAGUGCGCAAUCGGGUUUUUUGGUUUCAGCCACCUCUCCCCUCCAAACUCCCGGCUAUAUCCUGUCUCCUUCCCUCCGCCGCCUCUGCAAUUUCAUAAUCUCACGUUAAACGGAGUGCGGGGGGCGGAGGCGGGCGAGGGGGCGGAGGUAGUGUCAGCUGUCAUGAAGAAAACCCAUUCCUCCCGCCGCCGCCGCGACUUUUCUUCUUCUUCUUCUUCAAGGUUUAAGGCUGGGUGGCCGGCGAGCCCUCAGUCCCUGCCCCCACCCCGCGCCCGGCGCAGACCCUCCAGAAGGCCGGGAUUUUUGAGCUACAAAGAGAAAGGCAUUGAAAUCAAAUCACCGCCAGGAUUCGAAAUUGUCACCAAACACCCAAAGCUGUUGCUUUCAGAUUGAGGGUGAGAGCCUCUCCCUGUCAGUCAAGCAGGCUGUUCCCAAG
rnacentral:lncRNA from 1 species